rnacentral:rRNA from 1 species
CACACCGCCCGCCACAUCACGAAAGUGGGUUGUACUAGAAAUCGUAAUUCUAACCGUAAGGAAGAUAGCGCUCAAGGUAUGACUCAUGAUUGGGGUG